GCGAAAAGAGAGAGUGAUUGUGAAAUCAUGAAAUUGUUUGUUGUUGUCUGAAGCAAUACUCUGUCCGACAAAUUAGACAGUUCAUUGGUGAUAGUCUUUGCGUCCGCGAGGUCGUUUUUGUAGUGUUGUCUUUCUUUUUUACCGUACACGGUGAUCGACUGACAAGUGGAAUUGCCUGGAUAGCCACCGUUAGCAGUUUGGCUAACUAGCUAGCUAGCUAAGUUAUUCCGUGACAAUCACUGUUCCACAGCAGCUUGGCUCUUGGGAAAAUACUGCAAAUCUACAGUAACCGGUUGUGACGUUCAACAUCCCUCCUCUGAAGAGCAGUUGGAGCUGGGAACGGCUAAGCCGAUCACUGCGUGUUAGUGACUUUCCUGAAAAGCUGGCGUCGGCCUCGAGUGGCUGACGGGACCAUGAGCCAAGACCCCACCCUCCCCCCGCUGUGGAACCUGGCCAGCGUGGAGGUUUAGCCCACAUAGACACUGAGCAAGUGUUCAGGUCUGUGGUCCUCAGCCUGGAUUUGUUAAUGAAUGUGGUCCCUGCAGGACAGUGGUUCUUUGCCUGGGUAUGUUAAUGAAUGUGGUCC
ensembl:lncRNA